rnacentral:rRNA from 1 species
UACGUAGGGUGCGAGCGUUAAUCGGAAUUACUGGGCGUAAAGGGCGCGCAGGCGGCUCUGAAAGUCAGAUGUGAAAGCCCCGGGCUUAACCUGGGAAUUGCAUUUGAUACUCUGGAGCUUGAGUACGGGAGAGGAGAGUGGAAUUCCCAGUGUAGAGGUGAAAUUCGUAGAUAUUGGGAAGAACACCGGUGGCGAAGGCGGCUCUCUGGACCGUAACUGACGCUGAGGCGCGAAAGCGUGGGGAGCAAACAGG